UACGAAGGAUGCGAGCGUUAUCCGGAUUUAUUGGGUUUAAAGGGUGCGCAGGCGGAUUUUUAAGUCAGCGGUCAAAUCGUGGGGCUCAACCCCAUCCAGCCGUUGAAACUGGGGAUCUAGAGUGUGCGAGAGGUAUGCGGAAUGCGUGGUGUAGCGGUGAGAUGCAUAGAUAUCACGCAGAACCCCGAUUGCGAAGGCAGCAUACCGGUGCACAACUGACGCUCAGGCACGAAAGCGUGGGUAUCGAACAGG
rnacentral:rRNA from 1 species